rnacentral:lncRNA from 1 species
GCUUACAUUUAACUUUAUAAAAAAGAUGGAUUACACAAAAAAUGUUUAGGCAAUCCAUGAUGACAUAUUCAUAUUGUUUCUUUGCUCCUUUUUUUUUCUUCAAUUUUUGAAUUAUUUUUUUUCCUUUUUCGUUAUGGAGCCUAAAAUAUAUGUUUAUGUUAAAUUUUAUUCAAAUUUCCUCUUUGGCUAAUUUUAUUCAAAUUCCCUU